GACGAACGCUGGCGGCGUGCUUAACACAUGCAAGUCGAACGAUGAAGCCGGAGCUUGCCCUGGUGAAUUAGUGGCGAACGGGUGAGUAACACGUGAGUAACCUGCCCUUGACUCUGGGAUAACUGCUAGAAAUGGUAGCUAAUACCGGAUACGACCCUCGGAGGCAUCACCAGGGGGUGGAAAGCAUUUCGGUCAAGGAUGGACUCGCGGCCUAUCAGCUAGUUGGUGAGGUAACGGCUCACCAAGGCGACGACGGGUAGCCGGCCUGAGAGGGUGACCUGCCGACCUGGGAAUGAGACACGGCCCAGGCUCCGACGGGGUGCAGCAGGGGGGAACAUUGCACAAUGGGCGGAAGCCUGCUGCAGCAACGCCGCGUGAGGGAUGACGGCCUGCGGGUUGUAAACCUCUUUUAGCCGGGAAGAAGCGAGAGUGGCGGUACCUGCAAAAAAAGCACCGGCUAUGUACGUGCCAGCCGCCGCCGUAA
rnacentral:rRNA from 1 species